CCAAUGAAUAUUUCAAUGGCCGCGGUAUUUUGACCGUGCAAAGGUAGCAUAAUCAUUAGUUUUUUAAUUGAAAGCUGGAAUGAAAGGUUAGAUGAAAAAAUAGCUGUCUCUAUUUAAAUUUUUUAGAAAUUUAUUUUUAAGUUAAAAAGCUUAAAUUUAAUUAGAAGACGAGAAGACCCUAUAGAGUUUUAUUAAUUUUUGUAAUAAUAUUUUUAGUAUUUAAUAUUUUUUUUAUAAAAAUUAAUUUAAUUGGGGUGAUUAAAAAAUUUAUUAAACUUUUUUUAUAUAAAUACAUUCAUUUAUGGAUAAAUGAUCCUUUAAUUAAGAUUAAAAGAUAAAAUUACCUUAGGGAUAACAGCGUAAUUUUUUUAGAGAGUUCAAAUCGAAAAAAAAGAUUGCGACCUCGAUGUUGGAUUAAAAUAAAAUCUUGGUGUAGAAGCUAGGAUAUUUAGGUCUGUUCGACCUUUAAAAUUUUACAUGAUCUGAGUUUAAACCGGUGUGAGCCAGGUUGGUUUCUAUCUCUAUUUAUCUUAGAAUAUUUUAGUACGAAAGGACCAAAUAUUUGAUUUAGAAUUUAUAUUUAAGAAUAAAAUUAUUAUUUUGGCAGAUUAGUGUGAUAGAUUUAGAAUCUUUUUAUGUAAAAAUAUUUUACAAAUAAUACUUGAUACUGAAAGAUUUAAUUUUAAUAACUAUUUCUACUUUAAUUUUAAUUAUUUGUGUUUUAAUUAGAGUAGCCUAUGUGACUUUACUAGAGCGUAAAGUUUU
rnacentral:rRNA from 1 species